AAUCUGAUCGCAGCACAGGCGAGCAGAACGAUGGCGGCGCUUUGCCGGAGGGCGUUUCUGUGGCCGAUACGGGAGCCGAACUGUUGCGAGGCUGACCGCCGCUUCUUCGGUCUGACAGAUGGUGACGGUGUUCGCCGAGAGGAGAAGCCGUGCGGGCGGAAGAGACCCGAGCAGGUGCCCGGUGGAUUUUUUACCUUCCCAGAUCAAGGAUUUGAGAUGUCAUGAAUGUCAUCACAGUCUUGAUACCAGAGCGAGUAUCUGGCAGG